CUGCAGGACUCCACGUGCCGGACAGAAGAGUAAAGGUGAGAGACACAUAGGUCAGCCAGCAACCGAAUGACCUGUUGAGUCCUUAGAGGAAUCGUAUGACUCACUGCUUAUUUCACAAUCAACAAGCAACCCUCAAUCACAAUAGCGAGCAUUGUCUGCUGUACCGUGUUCCUAGGAAUACACAAGAAACGCACAAACAGAACAAUCUUGGAGAUCUGGAGUCCUCGCUUUGCAGAUUCUCUCUUAUCAAAAACCACAAGUGGGAAACAAAGCCUUCAGUACCAAGUACAUGAAAUUUGAACAUUUUUUUAAAAUAUGGAUUUUCAUAAUGAAAAUGCGUAAUUGAAUAUCUAUUUUCUUUAUGAAUAGACGGAACAUGACGGUAUUUUGGCAAGUUGCAGUGGCACAUAAGGCCAAAUUAUUUAUUCUAGUGCUGCCAACAUGCACACCAUUGUCACUUUGGCGAGCCUUAUGAAACAUAAUUGGCUAAAUAAAAUGCAUACCUAACUAUUGUUCCAUAAGUUACUGGUAUGUUAAGAAGCAUCAGAUUUCCUUGGGCAGGAGUGAUUAUAAAGGAGAUUAUGUGGAGCAGAAUUGCUUGCACCGUGAAUGCAUUGUCAGUCCUCCCCUGCUGGGAGGAACAAUAGCACCCCCUGCUGGAAGUGGCAAGCCUUGGCAUACUCUCAAGUGCCCAUAUACACAGAAUACGCAAGCUAUCAUUAUAUAUCUGAUCAAAGAAAUAAACCGUGUGAGGAAAAAAUAAUAGUUAUAGACAUUAAGAAUUUGCAUGCUUUUCUUUUUUUCCUUUUUAAAAGUAAGGAAGAUUUAAAGUGACAUUUGUGAUUCAGAUGUGGUAUGUGUGGUAUAGACAGUAUCUUCCCCAAGCCAGAACAGAGGAAUUGUCUGAGCAAGGAGGAGUUCCUGAAAAAUAUUCUGUAUAGUUAUACUGAUCUGUAUAUGCUGUGUGCAUAUUAUCUGUGAUCUGGCAAGCACUAUCUUGAACUAAAACCAUUUUGUUCAGCAGUUUGAUGCACCAGCCAAAGUUGAAGGAUGAUGUAUAAAAAAUAACACUGUAAAGAGGAUGAUGUAUAAAUAUAAUCAUGAUCAAAUUCAUAAGUGUUUUGUUAUGCAUUUUGGUACCCUUUGUAACCACAAAGCAUUUCCAAACAACUUCUGAUGGGGAAACAAAACUGGUCUUGGACAUGAUUUUGAUAUCAUUUUCAAUGUUUAAAUAGUAACAAGUUAGUUUCCAAACCAUUAAAUCUCACCCAAAGGGACUUUGAUGCUCCCAGAUUCUGGUGAUUCUCCUUGACACUUGGCAACACAAGCAAUAUCCUGAAAACAGGAAAACGCUGGAAGUCUGCCCUAGAAUUAAUUGCCUCUUGUUGAUUUGUUUCUUUGCUCAUAAAGGACAACAUUGUGGGUGAUGUUUGUUUGUUAUCACUUCUGCAAUUGCCACUCAGUAAUCUGUGGGCAGGAAGUGAUGUUGCCAGUGGAGGACAGACAAGCAGCGAUGAGUACUGAUAAACACAGUUCUAGGUACAGAGAAAAGUGCACAUCCAGAUACACUAGUAAUUGGGUUUAAGUCUGGAACAUUUUGUUCUGGCUUGACUAAAAGGCACAUAAUGAUGUUAUUUGAAAGGUAACAACAAUGAGAGACUGAUUGCACAGGUCCUGAAUUGCUCAAUUAUACAGAGAGCCCUGUCAUAUCGCAGCACCAUUUGUCAGUACAUAGCCAAGGAUGGUAAAACAGUUUUUUUUAAAUUAAUGUUUAGCCACUUAAUGAGAGAGAGUAAUAUUCUGCAUAUUUAUUUAUUUUAUUGUAUUUAUUUUACAUAAUGCACUUUGGGGAAAAUGGUCCA